rnacentral:rRNA from 1 species
UACGUAGGGUGCGAGCGUUGUCCGGAUUUAUUGGGCGUAAAGAGCUCGUAGGCGGCCUGUCGCGUCGGUUGUGAAAGCCCGGGGCUUAACCCCGGGUCUGCAGUCGAUACGGGCAGGCUAGAGUUCGGUAGGGGAGAUCGGAAUUCCUGGUGUAGCGGUGAAAUGCGCAGAUAUCAGGAGGAACACCGGUGGCGAAGGCGGAUCUCUGGGCCGAUACUGACGCUGAGGAGCGAAAGCGUGGGGAGCGAACAGG